AUGGAUUCCAUCUUGGCGAAUGAAACUUGGGAGAUAACUGAUCGUCCUUAUUGGUGCAAACCUAUAGGAUGCAAAUGGGUAUUCAAGAAGAAACUUAGACCUGAUGGUACUAUUGAGAAAUACAAGGCACGUCUCGUGGCCAAGGGUUAUACCCAAAAGGAAGGUGAAAACUUCUUUGAUACUUACUCACCUGUGGCUAGACUGACCACUAUUCGAGUAUUACUUUCUCUAGCGGCCUCACAUGGUCUUCUCGUUCAUCAAAUGGAUGUUAAGACUGCCUUCCUAAAUGGAGAGUUGGAUGAGGAAAUUUACAUGGAACAACCAGAUGGGUUUGUAGUAGAU
rnacentral:rRNA from 1 species